rnacentral:rRNA from 1 species
UACGGAGGGUCCAAGCGUUAUCCGGAAUCAUUGGGUUUAAAGGGUCCGUAGGCGGUUUUGUAAGUCAGUGGUGAAAGCCCAUCGCUCAACGGUGGAACGGCCAUUGAUACUGCAAGACUUGAAUUAUUAGGAAGUAACUAGAAUAUGUAGUGUAGCGGUGAAAUGCUUAGAGAUUACAUGGAAUACCAAUUGCGAAGGCAGGUUACUACUAAUGGAUUGACGCUGAUGGACGAAAGCGUGGGUAGCGAAUGGG